GUUUAUUUGAAUCCAUUCAAACAAUCUUCCUAUGCUUCAGCUUCAGAUCACACAUUAAUGGUGGAUUCCCAGACACACGGGAGGCGAAUACUAAUGCAGCGGCAGGUGCCGACAGCAAGUUCCCGGAGCAGCAAGUCGUCUGCAAGCCCCAGAACACUGCGAAGAAGCAGUCCCUGAGCAGCACUUGGGGAAGCAGUCCUGGAAUAGUGUGCAGGCAGUAAGUCCUGGGCAGAGAUCAGCACAAAGGAGCAUCUACAGUACCCACUUUUGCCAUACUUGGAGCAGCUGAGUGCCAAUAUGGAGCAGACUGGGGCUUGAAGCCGAGUGGGGGCUGCUGUUGGACAUGGGUCUAGCACAAGUGGAGAGACCAUAUGUGGAGAUCCUGUGCUAAACUGCUACACUGCAAUGUCUAUUUGAAAUUUCCUACCUUACUGUAAUGUCAACCCUUUAAUGAUGUCCUGUUUUUAACUUAUUUGUCAACUAUGUUAAGUAAUGCAACUAUUCUUCUCCUGUAUCCAAGAAUUGUACUUAGGUAUUUGUACCUAAGACGCCACCUUACGACGGCAGACACUAAAAGCU